AGUUAGCUUCCUGGAGUGUGGACGGGUCCUUCCCUGCCUGACUGACUUGUCCACAGGGCAGCAAGAAGAUGCGCCCCUUGGUGUGUUCCGAGUGUCUCCUGUAGGCAGCUGAGCUUUCGCAGCCAUCCGGGUGACCUGCACAGGUUCCUGCGGGGUCUCCAACAAGGCUAAUGACACAGCGUGGGUAGUGGAGGAGGGUUACUUCAACAGUUCCCUGUCGCUGGCAGACAAGGGGAGCCUGCCCGCUGGAGAGCACAGCUUCCCCUUCCAGUUCCUGCUUCCUGCCACCGCACCCACGUCCUUUGAGGGUCCUUUCGGGAAGAUCGUGCACCAGGUGAGGGCCGCCAUCCACACGCCACGGUUUUCCAAGGAUCACAAGUGCAGCCUCGUGUUCUAUAUCUUGAGCCCCUUGAACCUGAACAGCAUCCCAGACAUUGAGCAACCCAACGUGGCCUCUGCCACCAAGAAGUUCUCCUACAAGCUGGUGAAGACGGGCAGCGUGGUCCUCACAGCCAGCACUGAUCUCCGCGGCUAUGUGGUGGGGCAGGCACUGCAGCUGCAUGCCGACAUUGAGAACCAGUCAGGCAAGGACACCAGCCCUGUCGUGGCCAGUCUGCUGCAGAAAGUGUCCUAUAAGGCCAAGCGCUGGAUCCACGACGUACGGACCAUUGCGGAGGUGGAGGGUGCGGGCGUCAAGGCCUGGCGGCGGGCGCAGUGGCACGAGCAGAUCCUGGUGCCUGCCUUGCCCCAGUCGGCCCUGCCGGGCUGCAGCCUCAUCCACAUCGACUACUACUUACAGGUCUCUCUGAAGGCGCCGGAAGCUACUGUGAC
rnacentral:sRNA from 1 species